AGUGGCGGACGGGUGAGUAACACGUAAGAAUUUGCCUUUAGGAGGGGGACAACAACUGGAAACGGUUGCUAAUACCCCAUAUGCUUUCGAGUGAAAUGGAUUUUUCCGCCUAAAGAGAAGUUUGCGGCUGAUUAGCUUGUUGGUGAGGUAAUGGCUCACCAAGGCGACGAUCAGUAUCUGGUUUGAGAGGAUGAUCAGACACACUGGAACUGAGACACGGUCCAGACUCCUACGGGAGGCAGCAGUGGGGAAUUUUCCGCAAUGGGCGAAAGCCUGUCGGAGCAAUCUCGCGUGAGGGAUGACGGCCUAUGGGUUGUAAACCUCUUUUUUCAGGGAGGAACAAAAUGACGUGUACCUGAAGAAUAAGCAUCGGCUAACUCCGUGCCAGCAGCCGCGGUAAGACGGAGGAUGCAAGUGUUAUCCGGAAUCACUGGGCGUAAAGCGUCUGUAGGUGGUUUAAUAAGUCAACUGUUAAAUCUUGGAGCUCAACUUCAAAAUCGCAGUCGAAACUAUUAGACUAGAGUAUAGUAGGGGUAAAGGGAAUUUCCAGUGGAGCGGUGAAAUGCGUAGAUAUUGGAAAGAACACCGAUGGCGAAGGCACUUUACUGGGCUAUUACUGACACUCAGAGACGAAAGCUAGGGUAGCAAAUGGGAUUAGAUACCCCAGUAGUCCUAGCCGUAAACAAUGGAUACUAGAUGU
rnacentral:rRNA from 1 species